GGGUAGCCUAGAGGUUAGGGCAUCCAACUCUAGAUAGGAUGUCCUGGGUUCGAUGCCCGAUGCCACCA